CCCACAUCCGGGGAUUUGUUGUUUUGUUUCCUCAUUGUAAAAGAAAAAAAGCAGCUGGAGGCAUCAUUUCGUUGGUUUCUUCAAAAAAUUCGGGUUUCAUGUUGCACAAGGCCAGGAGAACAGAGACCUUGCCGAGGACCUUCUCAUCCAGGGCCAAGCGGCACCGGCGACACAAAAGCUAGUGGCGAGUCAUUGUGCUCUGUAAUUUGGGUGCAGUGACCACGACGUCGGACCUGUAGAAGCAUGGCAUUCCACAUAUAUAGGCCAACGGUGUCAAAGGUACGGCCAACGGGCCGAAUCAGGCCCACCAACAGGUUUCCUCCGGCCCACAAGAGGAGUUUGCUAAAAAUAAAAAUGAGGUGAC